UUUAAUUUAAUUUUUUUUUUUUUUAAUUUACUAAAAGAGUAAAACUAAUAUUCUUAAGUAUGAGUAACAAAAAAAAAUGAAAACAAGGUAUGUUUGAGUUGAAAAUAUUUUGUUAAAUAAAUCUUUUGAAGCUAUUUCUAUCUAGAUUAUUUCUGCUCCAGCUACCAAUCACUCUACUUUAUUUAUACAAGUAGAAUUUCUACUAAAAAUAACUUGUUCUCCUCAGGAUCUUUAUUGGGUAAUUUGUACAUAAUAAUAUUAAGUAAUAUUUUUUUUUCAGCUUAAACGGAAUAUUUUAUUUAGUUGUAACAAUCAUUGAUUAUAAAAAAUUUUGGAAAAUGGCUGCAAAUUAGGUAAGUACAAAAAUAUUGAUAAAGAAUUAUUAGAAACUUAUUAAGAAUGGUGAGAAGAUAUAUUGACGAAACUAUAUCUUGACUAAAGUAAAGGAGAGAUGUGUAAUGCAUGCAUAAAGUUUGAUUCAAAACUUUAGAGUCUUCGAGUUUGAAAUUUCAAGAAACAGCAUUAAUUUUUAAAUGAAACAGUACAACAUCACAAUUCUUUGCAAGAGAAGCAAGUCUUGAUAUUAAAGUGCAAAAGAUUGCGGAAUUUAAAAAAGACUUACCAAGAAGCAUUACUGGAAUUUAUUGUUAUGAUGAACUGUCAUCAAGUUUUAAGCCUAUGAGUAGAACAUAAACAUUAGUGUCGCAUGCAUCAAAGUUCGAUUUGGUCGAUAAGUAGAAGAUCAUUUGAAGAGAGCUCUUAAUAGAGUAGCAUAACAAUUAUUUUAUUACAUUUUUGUAUGUUUAUAUUUUAAAUGUUUGAUUUUUUAUUUUUGUAUGCUUAUAUUAUAAAUAAA
rnacentral:lncRNA from 1 species